UACAGGGGGGGCAAGCGUUGUUCGGAAUUACUGGGCGUAAAGGGUCUGUAGGUGGCCAACUAAGUCAGACGUGAAAUCCCUCAGCUUAACUGGGGAACUGCGUCUGAUACUGGAUGGCUUGAGUGUGGGAGAGGAAUGCGGAAUUCCAGGUGUAGCGGUGAAAUGCGUAGAUAUCUGGAGGAACACCGGUGGCGAAGGCGGCAUUCUGGACCAUAACUGACACUGAGAGACGAAAGCCAGGGGAGGCAACGGG
rnacentral:rRNA from 1 species